CCACACAAUUCUUCUUUGGGCGGCAAUACAUCGAAACCCUAGAUCAAAACACGCGUAGAUACUCCAUUCCUUCUCCUACAAUCUUCUUUCUUUUUUUCCUUGAUAUUUUUCUUUUACUCUUCACCUCUUUCUUUGUUUCUCUCUGCAACUCUUCAUCUCUUUCUUCCCUUUUUUUCCUUUCAUCAUUCAAUCAGAUUUAGAAACCCUAACAAUCAUCUUAUUCGCGAUUCAUCUUAUUCUCCGAUUCAUCUUAUCCUCCAAUCCAUCAACAUCUUCAAUUGAAUACCGGAAAUCAAAAUCGAUGAAGGAAUACGUGGGGCUGUGGUGGUGCAGAUCUGGUUGGAAAAACAUUUUCAGAUAUCAGAAUCAUGUUGGUGGUGGUUACAGGUGUUUUCUAUCGAUCUUUCUAUCUAUGAUUAUUCAACCCUAAAUCAUGGAAGCGAUUAUUCAACCCUAAAUCAUAACCAGAUGAUCUGGAUCAGGUAUGUAAGCGACUCUCUCAAUUGUGAAGAGUUUUUGUAUAAUGAUUAUUCAACCCUAAAUCAUAAUCAGUGACGAAUAGUCUUCUCUGCCAAUUUGAAGGGUAUCGUACAGAGAAAAUGUGAUGGAGCAUGACCGUAGCUUGCGGGGCUUAAUUACCAUGAGCUGUGAAUACGAAAUUACAGUAGAUUUGGUUAAUGGAACAACCCUCAAGAUAUUUCCUAUGAUCCGUUCAGAAGGGGCAACAAUAUAUGGGUUCAGGUUAAAAGUGUGCUUGCUCCUUGUGAGUAUGUUAAUGUGAGUUUGGGAGGUGACUCAAUGCAGCAAGAUCAUGAUACUGAAGCUGAUAGUGAGGUAGAGUACCCAAUAUAUAUAUUGUGUUAAUAUAUGACUGACCCAGUACAUGGAUCCAAGGGUCAAAAGUUCUGAUUCAAGUGCCCAAUACAUGACUGAUCCAUCUAUUAUAGUCAUAAUUUCUCUUUUUGAAGUCUAUUUGCAAUCUAUAAAUUAUUAUAAUUUUGUUAUAUAAAAUAAUCAUUAUACAACUGUUUUUGGUAACAAAGGGUUAUGUGGUGUACCUUCUUUACCCGACUGGCCCUUUUCAGUGGCCUAUCACAUGCUGGUAAAAUUGCAGUCGGGAUAUCACGUGGUGUUGUGUUUUUAUCGGUGCUCAAAAUAAUAUUUAUCUAUAAAAGAAGACAACGUAGCGAUUAGAACUUUGCUCUUCCGCACAAGUUAGUGUCUUAAGUUGAAUUUCUAUGACUCUCAUGGUCUCUGUCUGUAUUUGAGAAAUGGUCUCUUUUGACAUGUAACUUUUUCAACUGUUGUUGCAAAGAAAAAAUAAUAUUAGACACGGAAGUCGUUAAUGGCUCUUGAAAUGGCGAGCCAACAAGUCACAAAGUUAGAGUUCAACAAUUUAAUGAUACAAUAUUAAUAUGUAUGUUUUUAUGUUAUUGUGGUGUAUUCCAAUCGAUAUUGUUAGGCUGGCUAGAGCUAAAGAUUUACUAAUUUUGGUUAUCAAAACAACAACUGAACAAGAGGUUAAGUGGUAGAUGGGUGUUCGUGUUAAAUGGUCUAAGUCACACAAUAGAUUCAUACGUUUAUUAUACCUUCUUAUCUGUUCCGCUAAUCGGUAAUUCUGUUUGAACCCCUAAAACAUAUGAUUUUGUUGAAGAUUGCGCUUUGUUUUUCAAUCAGUUAUGAACAAUGACGGUACUUGUGGUUUCGAUUGGGCUUUUGUCCGUGAUUUCGAUGCUUGGUGUUUGUAGAGGGUCAUCUACUUCACGAAUAUUUGAAGGCAUGCUGACGCACAACAAUAGCACCGACAUUUUUUUCAUUCAAAACAGGUACAAUUAAAUUUUCAUAAUGCUCUAUUGACUAUAAAUGAGAUGAUUUUUCAUUCAUGCUUCUUGGGUACAUAGCACAAGAGUUGGCUCAUUUCCAAUUAAGGGUAUGGCACUAUUUAACCCAUAUGAAUCAUGUGGUCUUGGUAUAGUAAAUUAAUAAAAGUAUUUAUUUUAUGGGUUUUGAUUUCCUGCAGAAUACGACAUAUAUUUGGCAUACUCGUGCAUAUUUGCUUGCUGACUCAUCAUGUAUGAAAGAGAUAAACUAAUGAUGCAUAACAAUAGCACCAUUAAACAUCUUUUCAUUCAAAAUAGGUACGGUAUUCAUAAUGUUCUAUCGACCAUCUGAGAUAAUUUUUCAUCUAUGUUUAUUUGGUAGGAGAGUAUACGGAAUUGAUAGUGUUAUAUUGCUAUAUAUAUAAAUUCAGCAUGAUAUUAAAAUUACCGAUAUCCCACCACGAUAAUAGAUAUCUAAAAUAUCGGUGUCCUUGACCGAUUUUGAUUUUUACCGCAUUAACUACUUAGAAUGCAAGAUGAGGCAUUGCUUAUAAAUUGAGUUAGCAAGUUGGGUGGGUCAAGUUUGGUAACAUGUUAAACGGGCUAGGUUGUUCAAACAACUUUGAUCUUACAAUUAUAACUUCACUUAAUGAAGAACUCGAGUUUUUUUUUACUAAAAUUAAUCAAAAGGUCUCAUGCUUUGAAAAUACAUUAUAGAUGAAUUUUUUAGUAGAAUGAAUCAAAAGGUCUCAUAUUUGUUGGGUUCGAUGUAACUACAUAUGUGGUUUACGGUUUUCAAAGGAAUCACUUAAAAAAACUGCCGUUUUGGUUUCUUUCUAGAACCUUUUUCUUACCAAAUUUGGAACUUGAUUGUGUUGAUUUCAUCAAAUUGGAGAUCAAAUGAAAUUCACAUGAAUAAAAGUUUUGGUGGAAACUUUGACAAAGAUUUGGUGGAUUUUGGUGGCAUGGUAGAUCUGGGGAGAUUAAGGGGUAAAAUGGUUAAUGUUGAUAAAGAAUUCUCAUACAAGUUUAAAGGAAAUUUUGGCUUCAUAUCCUAGGUUUAAAAAUUUAUUUCCUCUAACUGAUACCUUAUUCCAACAUUUAUUUUGAAAGCACAAUCUUAAGUGGUCGGGUACUCAUAUAGUAGUCUAAGGGACGUAAGUCAUAGAAUCUUAAAAUAAGAAAGGUAGAUGGCAAAAUUGCAUUCACCGAUGGCUCGAAAAAGACCGGUUGAAUAUAUAGGAUAGCUUAUUGGAAGCCCCUUUGUGUUUCAACCUGUUUAUAUAUAAGUACCGGAACAGUCGGGGUAAUGGGUCAUAACAGGUAACGGGUCAAAAUGGACUUUUUUUAAAAGUGAAAAGGGAUGUUUGUAAAUACCUUCUACUUGAAAUAACUUUAGUGAUAUUAUGAUGUAACAUCAGUUCUUGAAUUCGCAGUGGAAAAGAUAUUCGUUCUAAUUAUAUUGGAUUGUAAACAGAUAUUAUGAUGUAAUAUAUUUGACCCAAUAAAGCUCUGUUUGUAAGUGCCAUUUACUUGAAAUAUCUAUGGUGAUUAUUUAUGUAUGAAUCGAAUUUUAACGGUCUGAAAAGCUUUCUUACAUGUGUUAAUCUUCUGUUCAAUAUAGUUUAUCUUGCCGAAUUUUAGGACAUAUGAAUACUAAAGCCAUUAGAGAAAAUGGGUCUUUGGUUUUCAUAAAACAAGUUAGCAAGGCGCUCAAGUUGUGAGUUAAUUUUUAUACUACAUACUUUAUUGUGCCUAGGAGCAUGCGAUUCAGAUUCUAAAUGUGCCACAUUUGCGUGAUCCCAAAAACGACAUGAACUUGAGAAUCGUGUCAUAAGCGUGAACCCGAUCAGGACAAGAGUAUUCAUGGGUUGACACGUAUGCGGCCUGUUUAACCGGUAAUCUAUACAUAUUAAAACAUUUAAAUUCUAUUUACAUACUUUAUUAAUUUUUUGAAGCAAUUAUGUUUAAACUAUGCCAUAUCAUUUUUAAUAGAAUACAUCUUAUGAAACUAAAAAACAAAUACAUGGGUUAAACAGGUCGACUCACAAACUUACUUUCUUGAUAAGGACACCACCUGUUUAGCUAAAGAUGUAUAGUUUUGAGUAUCGGUGACAAUACAUACGUGAGGUUGGGUUUAAAUGAAGUUUUUAAUGGCAUAAUCCAGUCUUCUUAAUUAGGUACAAACAUUUGUUCCUUUGAUUAGUUGUGAGAUUGCUUCCAAUUUUUAUGCUUAUUCUCUGUUUGGUGAACUUAAAUGGUUUGUAAAACUGUUAAUCAGGGUUUUUCUAUAUAAUCAAAGAAUUUGAAGCAACUUAUGGUGUUUGUGCUUUUAUUUGAUAUGUUGUGUAAGCUUUAUUGAUCAUGUUAUUGCUAAUUAAAGAUGCUGAAUGGAAGUAUAUGUUUUAAUAGGAUUACAAAGCAUGAUAUUUUGGUUUAUUUUAUAUCAUUAUUGUUAUUAUUUUGUCUGCAUGCUAUUUGAUAUCAAGAUUUGGUGAUCUGCAAAAAAUUGUUGAAUUCUCAGUUUCACAAGUUCAACGAAUUAGCUUGGGGAUCAAUUUGCAUUGAGACGAAAUGAUGAGCCAUCAUAAUCCCAAUGUCAUUUUUUUAUUCUUCCAUUUCAUUUUAUUUUGUUUCAGACCAUUAACAACAAUUUAAAAUGGUAAUUUUUUUAGUAAUAGUGAUAUUAUCCUUGCUUGCAGAUGUGUUUUGUGUUGGCAUCACAUAAUAAACAUGGCUUAAAAGGGUACAAUAGAAGGACAAUCUCAUGCAUGUGGGACGCCUUGUGAUAAGUAUAACAUUGUAGGGUUUGUAAGCAAAUUUUCAAAGGUUAAUAUACGCAAUGAUAUUGGUAAUUUCUAUUGUUAUUUUUAGUUUAUAAAUCUGUAAUACAAACUUUUUGUAUACAAUGUGCUUGGCGAUAGCUAAAGACGGAAGAGAAUAAUAUUAAAGGGAAAGUCAACCACAUGAAGAAAGGAAAGAUAUAAGCUUUGUUCGAGAAUUUAGUGAAAAUGGUAUAGAUGAAGAUGUUUACAGUUUAAAAUUUGGUUUUUUAGCAAAUAAUGAAUAGAUAUGUAAGUGUAAUCCUUUUAGCUAUUUAAUAUCUCUUACUACUGUUGCAUGAUCUCAUAUUUUUUUACUCAAUAGUUUAUAAUUGUAACUUAGUUUCAAUUUUCUAACAUUUUCAUGUACUCUCUAAUAUUUUCGUUAAUAUUUCAAUGUAUAUAAAUUAUAAUUUUUUACUUCACAAUUUUAAAGGAUUUAGUUUAAUGCUGCUUUUUGACUAACCAUUCUAUAACAGUAAAAGGGAUUUAUAGCAAAUCAAGUGUUGGAGGGUAGCCAACCAGUUGAUAUCUCUAAGAACCCGUUUGAGUUGUUCUUACACUUAAAGGAUGAAUGCGAUAGUGGAGUUAAAGAAUACAUCAUGAAGGUUUAGUUGACAAAAACUUAAUUUGUAACGGACAUUAUGUAGAUGUACUAUUGUGACGUGUUCAAAUGUCUCAAAAUAUUAGGUUUAACAAAUCA